GAUUUUCAUAAUAAAACUGCAUAUUAUUUUCCUGUUUCGCUUUUCUCCAUCCAAAUUUACCAUUCAAAAGAAAUAAUAAAUAAGGCUACUAAUAUAUUCUUGGUUGUCUUUGAAACAGAAGGCUAGACAUCAUCCUGACACGACAAGAUCUGAAGUCACUGAAAAUCCCAGAGAUGUGGCAAAAAACACAGCAAUCAAACAGCAAAAUGUUAAGAAACAACCUGAAGAGGAACUGAAGAAGACAACAAGCAGCACAAUUUCGACACUUGUGAAACCUGCACUAAAGAUCAAAGAAGUAAAGGGUGUGAUUAAAUUCCUUCCUGAGGUAAGACUGUUUUAUUUAAAUAAAAAAUUCUCAUUCAAAAUAAAGAUAAUUAAAACACCACUGUCGCUAAAGGACUUGCUCAUAGGGGUCGUCUAAUUGUUCGUGUUUUCUCUGUAUUAUUGUAGGGUCUUUACAAUGUCAAGCACAAUGAGGUGACUGUUUUUAUAGUUUGGUGUUACAUAAAUAAAACUGGAUUAAACUGAAUCUUGCUCAAAAUGAUUUUCAUAAUAAAACUGCAUAUUAUUUUCCUGGUCUGCUUUUCUCCAUCCAAGCUUACCAUUCAAAAGAAAUAAUAAAUAAGUCCAUCCAUCCAUCCAUUUUCUUCCACUUAUCUGGGGUCUGGUCGCGGGGGCAGCACCCCAAGCAGAGAAGCCCAGACCUCCACCUCUUUCCCCCCUACACCUCCUCCACCUUGUCCGGGGGAUCGCCAAGGCAUUCCCAGGCCGGCCGAGAGUGUCACGGGUUGCCGGGGCAAGCCGAGUGAAUUAUUAAAGGACCCGAAAUGCAGAUGGUUUCUGAGGUGAGCGAGCUUUUAUUGUGACGAUGAUGUACAACACAAAAGAAAGGGUGGUGAGGAACAGAACUGAAAACACUCUAAACUGGGAAAACUAAAACUUAAACAACAAAACCAGAACACGAAUGAGAGGAAAAUACACAGAAAGACGGAGGGGAGUAACACAGACGAACCAGCAACGAGGACGGGUGAACACACACUAUAAAUACACACAUCAGUAAUCAGGGGAUGGGUAACAGGAGGGAAACACACCUGGGAGACAUAACAGCUGACAAGGCGGGGGAAACGUAAACAGAACACACUGACAUAAGACAGAGACCUUCAAAGUAAA
rnacentral:lncRNA from 1 species